GAUGAACGCUGGCGGCGUGCCUAAUACAUGCAAGUCGAGCGAACAGACGAGGAGCUUGCUCCUCUGACGUUAGCGGCGGACGGGUGAGUAACACGUGGAUAACCUACCUAUAAGACUGGGAUAACUUCGGGAAACCGGAGCUAAUACCGGAUAAUAUAUUGAACCGCAUGGUUCAAUAGUGAAAGACGGUUUUGCUGUCACUUAUAGAUGGAUCCGCGCCGCAUUAGCUAGUUGGUAAGGUAACGGCUUACCAAGGCAACGAUGCGUAGCCGACCUGAGAGGGUAAUCGGCCAAACUGGAACUGAGACACGGUCCAGACUCCUACGGGAGGCAGCAGUAGGGAAUCUUCCGCAAUGGGCGAAAGCCUGACGGAGCAACGCCGCGUGAGUGAUGAAGGUCUUCGGAUCGUAAAACUCUGUUAUUAGGGAAGAACAAAUGUGUAAGUAACUAUGCACGUCUUGACGGUACCUAAUCAGAAAGCCACGGCUAACUACGU
rnacentral:rRNA from 1 species